CUUUAUAUCCCUCUUAGUUCAGAUAAAAC
rfam:Caryophanon tenue strain DSM 14152 DSM_14152_R1_001_contig_3, whole genome shotgun sequence.